rnacentral:tRNA from 1 species
AAGACACUAGUAAAAUUGAAAAUUACGCCACCUUGUCAAGGUGAGAUUGCAGGUUAGACUCCUGCGCGUCUUG